AAGCGUGAAGCCCCCCUCAAGAUGAGAUAUCCCAUAACGUCAAGUUAGUAAGACCCCUUGAAGACGACGAGGUAGAUAGGGCAGAGGUGGAAGUGCGGUAACGCAUGGAGCUGACUGUUACUAAUAGGUCGAGGGUAUAACCAAG
rnacentral:rRNA from 1 species